rnacentral:pre_miRNA from 1 species
UCUUAUGGAUGGGUAAAGAAAUUGGUUUCUUAAGAUGGAAUCUACUCCUGGUGAAAAUGCUAUGAA